rnacentral:tRNA from 1 species
CUGUAGCUCAGCUGGAUAGAGCGUUGGCCUCCGGAGCCAAAGGUCGGGGGUUCGAAUCCCCCCAGGUG